CCGGACGGUAUGGCCGUUAUAAUGAACUACUGGGCUGCGGCGCAGUGAAAAGAGUUUACCGGGCAUUUGAUCAAGAAGAAGGAAUAGAGGUUGCAUGGAACCAAGUCAAAUUAAGAAACUUCUCUAACGAUCCAACCGUGAUCGAAAGGCUUUACUCAGAGGUUCGAUUGUUAAGAAGCUUAAAGAACAAGAACAUUAUUUCUCUGUACCAUGUGUGGCGUGACGAAGAUCAUAAUAAUUUGAAUUUCAUAACUGAAGUUUGUACUUCUGGUAAUUUGAGGGAAUAUAGGAAGAAACACAGGCAUGUUUCAAAGAAGGCACUCAAGAAAUGGUCCAAACAAAUCUUGAAGGCCUUGAAUUAUUUGCAUACGCAUGAGCCUUGCAUCAUUCAUAGAAUAGAGAUCUCAAUUGCAGCAACUUGCUUGUCAAUGGGAAUAUCGGCCAGGUUAAGAUUGGUGAUCUUGGUUUGGCUGCUAUAGUGGGGAAAAGCCAUUCAGCACAUUCAAUACUUGGGACACCAGAAUUCAUGGCACCAGAGCUGUAUGAGGAGAAUUACACAGAAAUGGUGGACAUAUAUUCCUUUGGUAUGUGUGUGUUAGAGAUGGUGACAUUGGAAAUUCCAUAUAGUGAGUGUGACAACGUUGCAAGAAUAUACAAGAAAGUUUCCUCUGGAGUUAGGCCUAAGGCUUUAAGCAAGGUUAGGGUAGGGGAUUCAUUGAGAAAUGCAUUGCUCAGCCUAGAGCAAGGCCUUCUGCUGCAGAUCUCCUCAAAGAUCCAUUCUUUGAUGGAAUUGAUGAUGACGACGAAAAUGAUGAUACUUCUUCUUGUUCAUGAUACAUACUAAGUAAUAAUAUUGAUUGAUGGUUGUGUUUUGUUAAUGAUAACAACAAUAUUUAGGAGUGUAUGGCUCAAUUAGCCUAUAGAUGUUAUUCUUGUCCCUUUUUCUUUUUCCCCAAUUCUUUCCUUUUCUUGUUUUUUAUUUCUGAUGGUUGGAAGCACAUGGAGAGGAUAAAUUGUGCUUUCAAAUUUCUUUCCUUUUUCUUUUGUGUCCUUUGAAAAGAGAAAUUGGGUAAAGAUUAAAUCUGAACAGAGAAGGAUAUGAGGAAGCCAUCAUUUAGGGAUGGAUGGUAUUGUUUUGUACAAAGUUUGAAUCAUGUAAACUAGAAGAAUCAUGAGAUAAGCUUGUGGGUAUUUCCUUGUGUUCAUCAAUA
rnacentral:misc_RNA from 1 species